rnacentral:misc_RNA from 1 species
GAUGAAGAACGUAGCAAAAUGCGAUAAGUAAUGUGAAUUGCAGAAUUCAGUGAAUCAUCGAAUCUUUGAACGCACAUUGCGCCCGCCAGUAUUCUGGCGGGCAUGCCUGUUCGAGCGUCAUUUCAACCCUCAAGCCCCCGGGCUUGGUGUUGGGGAUCGGCGAGCCUCCGCGCCCGCCGUCCCCUAAAUCUAGUGGCGGUCUCGCUGUAGCUUCCUCUGCGUAGUAGCACACCUCGCACUGGGAAACAGCGCGGCCACGCCGUUAAACCCCCAACUUCUGAACGUUUGACCUCGGAUCAGGUAGGAAUACCCGCUGAACUUAAGCAUAUCAAUAAGCGGAGGA